UUCCGGUUGAUCCUGCCGGACCCUAUUGCUAUCGGGACAGGACUAAGACAUGCUAGUUUAGCGUCUUCAAGCUAUGAUGGAGACGCGGCGCACAGCUCAGUAACACGUGGUCAACCUGCCCUUAGGACAAGUAUAACCCCGGGAAACUGGGGAUAAUCCUUGAUAGGUGAGGAAUUCUGGAAUGAGUCUUUGCUUAAAGGACGUGCAGAUCACGCUUCUGUGCGUUGCCUAAGGAUGGGGCCGCGGCCGAUCAGGUUGUUGGUGAGGUAACGGCUCACCAAGCCUAUAACCGGUACGGGCCGUGAAAGCGGAAGCCCGGAGAUGGGCACUGAGACAAGGGCCCAGGCCCUACGGGGCGCAGCAGUCGCGAAAACUCCGCAAUACGCGAAAGCGUGACGGGGCUAUCCCGAGUGCUAUUCGAUGAGAGUAGCUUUUCCUCAGUGUAAAGUGCUGGGGGAAUAAGGAGGGGGCAAGACUGGUGUCAGCCGCCGCGGUAAUACCAGCUCUCCGAGUGAUAGGGACGUUUAUUGGGCCUAAAGCAUCCGUAGCUUGCUGAGUCUGUCCUCCGUUAAAUCCAACGAUUUAAUCGUUGGGCUGCGGGGGAUACUGCUUAGCUAGGAGGCGGGAGAGGCCGACGGUAUUUCCGGGGUAGGGGUGAAAUCCUAUAAUCCCGGGACGACCACCAGUGGCGAAGGCUGUCGGCUAGAACGCGCUCGACGGUGAGGGAUGAAAGCUGGGGGAGCAAACCGGAUUAGAUACCCGGGUAGUCCCAGCUGUAAACGAUGCAGGCUAGGUGUUGGUGUGGCUACGAGCCGCUCCAGUGCCGCAGGGAAGCCGUUAAGCCUGCCGCCUGGGAAGUACGGCCGCAAGGCUGAAACUUAAAGGAAUUGGCGGGGGAGCACCACAAGGGGUGAAGCUUGCGGUUUAAUUGGAGUCAACGCCGGG
rnacentral:rRNA from 1 species